CCUACGGGUGGCAGCAGUGGGGAAUAUUGCACAAUGGGGGAAACCCUGAUGCAGCGAUGCCGCGUGGAGGAAGAAGGUUUUCGGAUUGUAAAGCCCUGUUAUCAUGGACGAUAAUGACGGUACCUGAAGAGAAAGCUCCGGCUAACUACGUGCCAGCAGCCGCGGUAAUACGUAGGGAGCGAGCGUUGUACGGAAUUACUGGGUGUAAAGGGAGCGUAGGCGGGACUGUAAGUGAGAUGUGAAAACCAAGGGCUCAACUUUAAGACUGCAUUUGAAACUGCUGUUCUUGAGUGCAGUAGAGGUAAGCGGAAUUCCUGGUGUAGCGGUGAAAUGCGGAGAGAUUAGGAAGAACACCGGUGGCGAAGGCGGCUCACUGGACUGUUACUGACGCUGAGGCUCGAAAGCGUGGGGAGCAAACAGGAUUAGAUACCCGGGUAGUC
rnacentral:rRNA from 1 species